UGAGCUGAAGUCGGACACUUAAUCGACUGAGCCACCCAGGCGCCCCAAAUUCUUUAAAAAGAAAAUACCUUAAGGCACAUCGAUCACAUCGAGUAGGGGUAUCAUUUCAUACAACUUUUCUUUUGUAUAUUCCAGAUCCCAGUGCAGACUGUAUUUCUUACUAUGGGCCAUGUCAUCGACCCAAAACAUUAAAUAGGCCAUUUAAGGUGUAAGGCAAAAAAGGUCACGUUAAAAUUCAAUUUAAGCAUAGAAGUGCCUUUUUAUUAUAAAUGAAUAUUAGAAUCUCCAUUGUUAAGCUGAAGCUCAAAGGCGGUAGCAUGUCUUUCUUGCCCGAGAAUUCUCAGAACAAGCCUGCUGCUCUCCAGACACUCAAGGCCACGGCCGUUCCUCCUGUGGCUGCCACAGCCCGAGGGAGCGGAAACAGGAGCGGGGCAGGUGACGCAGGGGCACAGAGGAGCCAGAGCAGGCUUCGCGCUGACAGCAGAGCCGACGUGGGGGCUCGGUGGGGGCUCGGAUUCACAAACCAUGAGAUCAUGACUUGAGCCGAAGUCCAUCAUUUCACCGACUGAGCCUCCCAGGU